rnacentral:tRNA from 1 species
GCCUGGCUGGCUCACUUAGAAGAGCAUGGGACUCUUAAUCUUGGGAUCAUGGGUUUGAACCCCAUGUUGGAUG